AGGUAAUAGAUACCCGGGUAGUCCACGCCGUAAACGAUGCGCACUAGGUGUCGGGGGUAUCGACCCCCUCGGUGCCGCAGCUAAACGCGAUAAGUGCGCCGCCUGGGGACUACGGCCGCAAGGCUAAAACUACAAAGGAAUUGACGGGGGGCCCGGCACAAGCAGCGGAGCGUGUGGUUUAAUUCGACGCAACGCGAAGAACCUUACCUGGGCUUGACAUGCACGUGGUACGGAGCCGAAAGGCCGAGGACCCGCAAGGGAGCGUGCACAGAUGCUGCAUGGCUGUCGUCAGCUCGUGCCGUGAGGUGUUGGGUUAAGUCCCGCAACGAGCGCAACCCUCGCUGCCAGUUACCAUGUCUGGCGGGACCGCCGGGUUCCAACCCGGGAGGAAGGUGGGGUAUGACGUCAAGUCAGCACGGCUCUUACGCCCAGGGCUACACACACGCUACAAUGGCCGGUACAACGCGCAGCGAU
rnacentral:rRNA from 1 species